AGUUUUGGAAACUUUAGAGUGUUUUCAAUCCAAAUCUACCAGUUAUAUGCAUAUCAUCUCUUCUGGGCCCGAGUAGAAGGCCAUUUAAUUUGGGCAGACUUUUCAUCCAAAAUUCCGAAUGCUACCCCCUACCCUAGAGAAGUUAAUUUGUCCCUCUCACUGGUGUAGUCAUAGCCCUGCCUUAUGCUAGAUCCUUUGUGGGCGUGGAAGUGUGUGAGAUAGGACUAUAGUAGGAGAGUCGUAGGGGUGGGCCCCUCUCCCAGAGGUUUCUUCUCACUUUAUCUGUCAACUUGACCUCGAGACGGAUUCCUCGCUCCUCGCUAGUUCCGCAGCUGGCAUCCCUUAUCAAGAGACUAUCGCCUUUCACCUCCCUCCUUAUAAACUUGGAACAGAAUCCAAAUCCCUAUCUACCCUUCAUUGACUCCAACAUAUACAUUCCUUAUACAUGUAAAGUAAUCAAUAUGUUCUAGUAUGGUAACAUGAAUAGGUAUAUUUCAAGCUAGAAUCCAACACAAAGACAAUUUUCACUUUGCAGCUGGCCUAUCUUAGGGGAAAUCGUUCAGUUCUGCCUAGUUUGACUUGUCUGUCUUUUCUCUUUCCCAGAAUGCAGGAAAGUAAACAUUCUAAAGAGGUUGGAAGCACUACUCAUACCCCGUAACACUUGUUGUUGUUGUGGUGAACGUGAUUCAACAACCUGUGUCUUGGACUGCCGGCCCAUGUUAUAAUACAAAUAUGUUUAUUAUAUGUUUAUUACAUAUGUUAUAAUACAAAUAUGUUUAUUAUAUGUUUACCUGUGAAGGACCCAGGAAGGGUCAGAGGGAUGAGUCCUUUAGAAGAGAGCUGCAUACAGUAGGUAAAUGAAAAGAGUUCCUUAUAAGAGGACUUUUAGACCUUAGAUCAAAGUGUUUGUCCAUGUUAUAACAUAUUCAUAUUUGUUGACUGUAUUGGUAUAUUUAUGCUAUUUCUAUUUAACCUUUUAUUUAACCAGUAAAAACCUGUUGACACAGUCUCUUUUUCAAGUUAGACCUGGUCAAGAAAGCAAGCAGUCAAUACACCAUUACAAAAUGUAAAACAUACAACACAAACAGCACACCAGCACCACACAUAUAUAAUGUUACAUUUUCAGUCAAACCUUUGGAGUCCAGAAUAUAAGCUCCAUACUAAAGAUAAUGGCAGUGUAGUGUAGUCUCAAAUGGAACCAUAUUACCUUUAUAGUGCACUACACAAACAAUGAUUGGCUAAAAACAGGUCAAUGAUGGUAUUCCGCUGUGGCCUGCUCGCUCCGGGCGUAGAUCUAUAUCUUUGGUCUUUUCUCUAUGCCUCUUCGUUUGUGGGAUUCUUGGAUCUGGUCUGAUUCUGGAGCGGGAUAAGUGUAUAGGAGGAAGGGAGAUGGAGAGGGAUGGGGGUGGAGGAGGAUAUGUCCAUCGGGCUGGUGCUGGAGGGGGAGCGAUGUGGCGGCAAGGCUGGACAAUGGAGGCUGGAGAACGGAACAAAGAGGGCCCAGACCCACCUGGCCACAGACCACUCACACACAAGUUGGUAGGUGUGUUCAAUGUGAGAUGCAUCUGUGGCGGACGUUCUCAGGACAUACCUUGUGCCGUCUAUGGAUGGAUUUCCUAGUGGGGAGGCAAACAUGAACAGCCGUCUGAAAAAAGUUAUUCUGUUCUGAGUGUUUUGUCAAGGUCAUGGGUCAUUGGGAGACUCCGGGUUUGAUCAUUUAAUUGCAGAGGUGGAUGAGGGCCUCUAGCGGGUUGUUUGUGUUGUGAGGGGGGACUAGGAGGAGGAGACAAUUUCUAGCAAGGCAUUGGGGGUUUUGGGAGUUGUAAGUUCAGGUGCAGUCAUGUGCAGUAAGGACCAUGGGGGACUGAUCUGGGCCCGUAGGGGCUAGGCUGGAGUGAUCAUGGGUGUUACAAAAUGGGGGGGCGGUAGGGAGUGGUACGAGAAAAGGAUUUGCAGGGGAUAUGUUUCUUCUGAGGGAGUAGGGGAGUUCGGGGGGCCUGCAUGCUGGCUUUGGGGUUGUGAUUAUGGGGUUGUUUUGUUGUCUGGUGUGGUGUGUUGUGUUGUUUUUUCCUAAUUUUCUGUUUGUCGUUUGUUGUCUGGAUUUUGUUCUUGCCACUGUGGUUCUUCUUCUGCAGUGGAACUCAUAUAUAUAUAUAACGGCUGUUGGAAGGAGAGGACCAAGGUGCAGUGUGAACUUCUGGACAUCAGAACAGCGAUUACCCAACACGAACUGGAAGAAUAAUUGUUCAUUAACAAGUCUGACGCAAAGGAUAUACUGCUUUCUCAGGAACAAAAUCCCUGUAAUUUGUGUGAAGAAAAUAUGGAAAAAAAGGGGGUGGAGGUCAGACUGCCUUCUGAGAAUUCGUAGAGUCAUGGCUGAACGAUGACAUCCUUCUACACCGGCUCAGACGCUCGUUGGAUGUGGC